CAGCGGCAAGCGGGGGGAGGGGGACUCUUAUUUUGUUAGGGGGACCGGGCCAAGGCCCGACCGGCCUGGCAGGGCUCGCCCGGGGCCGGGCGUCAUGUCUCAUGCAACUGAGACAGCUCGGGACGGCGUAGAGGCCAGCGCGGAGGGCCCUCGAGCCGUGUUCGUGCUGUUGGAAGAGCGCAGGCCAGCUGACUCGGCCCAGCUGCUCAGCCUGAAUUCUUUGCUUCCGGAAUCCGGGAUUGUUGCUGACAUCGAGUUAGAAAACAUCCUUGAUCCUGACAGCUUCUACGAGCUCAAAAGCCAGCCUCUAUCCCUUCGCUCCAGGCCACUCCGACCACCCCAGCUACACUCUCUGCAUCGUCUUCUGCAGGGGGCUCCCGGACCCCUGCCAUGUCAUCCUCCUCCUCACGGGUCUUGCUGCGGCAGCAGCUUAUGAGGGCCCAGGCACAGGAACAGGAGAGGCGUGAGCGGCGGGAACAGGCAGCGGCCGC
rnacentral:lncRNA from 1 species